rnacentral:rRNA from 1 species
ACGAGCGCUGGCGGCGUGCCUAAUACAUGCAAGUCGAACGCUUCUUUUUCCACCGGAGCUUGCUCCACCGGAAAAAGAGGAGUGGCGAACGGGUGAGUAACACGUGGGUAACCUGCCCAUCAGAAGGGGAUAACACUUGGAAACAGGUGCUAAUACCGUAUAACAAUCGAAACCGCAUGGUUUUGAUUUGAAAGGCGCUUUCGGGUGUCGCUGAUGGAUGGACCCGCGGUGCAUUAGCUAGUUGGUGAGGUAACGGCUCACCAAGGCGACGAUGCAUAGCCGACCUGAGAGGGUGAUCGGCCACAUUGGGACUGAGACACGGCCCAAACUCCUACGGGAGGCAGCAGUAGGGAAUCUUCGGCAAUGGACGAAAGUCUGACCGAGCAACGCCGCGUGAGUGAAGAAGGUUUUCGGAUCGUAAAACUCUGUUGUUAGAGAAGAACAAGGAUGAGAGUAACUGUUCAUCCCUUGACGGUAUCUAACCAGAAAGCCACGGCUAACUACGUGCCAGCAGCCGCGGUAAUACGUAGGUGGCAAGCGUUGUCCGGAUUUAUUGGGCGUAAAGCGAGCGCAGGCGGUUUCUUAAGUCUGAUGUGAAAGCCCCCGGCUCAACCGGGGAGGGUCAUUGGAAACUGGGAGACUUGAGUGCAGAAGAGGAGAGUGGAAUUCCAUGUGUAGCGGUGAAAUGCGUAGAUAUAUGGAGGAACACCAGUGGCGAAGGCGGCUCUCUGGUCUGUAACUGACGCUGAGGCUCGAAAGCGUGGGGAGCAAACAGGAUUAGAUACCCUGGUAGUCCACGCCGUAAACGAUGAGUGCUAAGUGUUGGAGGGUUUCCGCCCUUCAGUGCUGCAGCUAACGCAUUAAGCACUCCGCCUGGGGAGUACGACCGCAAGGUUGAAACUCAAAGGAAUUGACGGGGGCCCGCACAAGCGGUGGAGCAUGUGGUUUAAUUCGAAGCAACGCGAAGAACCUUACCAGGUCUUGACAUCCUUUGACCACUCUAGAGAUAGAGCUUCCCCUUCGGGGGCAAAGUGACAGGUGGUGCAUGGUUGUCGUCAGCUCGUGUCGUGAGAUGUUGGGUUAAGUCCCGCAACGAGCGCAACCCUUAUUGUUAGUUGCCAUCAUUUAGUUGGGCACUCUAGCAAGACUGCCGGUGACAAACCGGAGGAAGGUGGGGAUGACGUCAAAUCAUCAUGCCCCUUAUGACCUGGGCUACACACGUGCUACAAUGGGAAGUACAACGAGUCGCAAAGUCGCGAGGCUAAGCUAAUCUCUUAAAGCUUCUCUCAGUUCGGAUUGUAGGCUGCAACUCGCCUACAUGAAGCCGGAAUCGCUAGUAAUCGCGGAUCAGCACGCCGCGGUGAAUACGUUCCCGGGCCUUGUACACACCGCCCGUCACACCACGAGAGUUUGUAACACCCGAAGUCGGUGAGGUAACCUUUUGGAGCCAGCCGCCUAAGGUGGGAUAGAUGAUUGGGGUG